UACAGAGGGUGCAAGCGUUGUUCGGAAUUAUUGGGCGUAAAGCGCGUGUAGGCGGCUCAGCAAGUUGGGUGUGAAAGCCCUCGGCUUAACCGAGGAAGUGCGCCCAAAAACUACUAGCUUGAGUACCGGAGGAGGAUGGCGGAAUUCCCGGUGUAGAGGUGAAAUUCGUAGAUAUCGGGAGGAACACCAGUGGCGAAGGCGGCCAUCUGGACGGAUACUGACGCUGAGACGCGAAAGCGUGGGGAGCAAACAGG
rnacentral:rRNA from 1 species